AGAGAUGGAAAUGUUUUAAGAAUUGUUUAGGUGCCUUAGAUGGGACAUUAAUAGAUGUGACACCACCCACCGAACAAAAAUCAAGAUACCGAACGAGAAAAGGAAGUAUUGCAACGAAUGUAUUAGGGGUUUGUUCUCCUAAUAUGCAAUUUAUCUAUGUCUUGCCUGGUUGGGAAGGUUCGGCACAUGAUGGUCGUGUGCUUCGAAAUGCUAUCUCUAGACCAAAUGGUCUUAGAGUCCCACAAGGUUGUUAUUACUUGGUGGAUGCUGGAUAUUGUAAUGCUGAUGGAUUUCUUGCCCCUUAUCGAGGGCAAAGAUAUCACCUUAAUGAAUUCAAUGGUUAUCGACCACAAAGACCAGAGGAAUAUUUCAACAUGAAACAUUCUAAAGCUAGAAAUAUCAUAGAAAGAUG